GCCCUCUCAAAAGCUAAUAACCCCAAGCUAGUCUUUCUCUGUGAGACUAGGCAGGAUUCAGCGAAGGUGGAGAAGUUGAAGUGGCGACUCGACUUAAAGGGCUUCCAUGGUGUCAGUAGCGAUGGACGGAGCGGCGGACUAGCUUUGUUUUGGGAUGAGUCUCUCUCAGUUACGGUGCUCGAAUCUUGCAAUAGCUUCAUUGAUGUUCGUGUUCAGGAUGGAGGCUCCGGUGUUUUAUGGAGAGGCACCUUUGUAUAUGGGGAGCCGAGAGUGCACUAG
rnacentral:rRNA from 1 species